rnacentral:rRNA from 1 species
UACGGGGGGAGCAAGCGUUGUUCGGAUUUACUGGGCGUAAAGGGCGCGUAGGCGGCCUCUGCAAGUCGACUGUGAAAUCUCCGGGCUUAACCCGGAACGGUCAGCCGAUACUGCAGGGCUAGAGUGCAGAAGGGGCAACCGGAAUUCUCGGUGUAGCGGUGAAAUGCGUAGAUAUCGUGAGGAAUACCAGAGGCGAAGGCGGCUACCUGGACAAUUGCUGACGCUCAGGCACGAAAGCGUGGGGAGCAAAAGGG